UCGUCACUGUCUCCCAUUGGUCUAAAGGAGCAAACAGAUAUUAUCAGGGAUUCUUUCUGCAUCAUUCAGCAACUUUAAAUCAUAAGUUUAAAUAUUUGGGGGGGAAAAACUUUACUAGAUCUUUCUGUAAAUCACCAAGUAUGAAGGUGUUUAAAUAAAAAAAUAAAAAAAUAAAAUAAAAAAAAAUUGUUCAAACUGUCAAAAUAAACCUUAAAUUCAGAGAAUUAUCGGAGUUCGGUUAAUUAAUGCACAUUAACAGAUGGAGCACAGCUCUGUGAGGCUGAAGGUGGCAACUGAAAAACCUGUAGAUUCAAUAAAUUUACACCAACGCAGGACCAAGAGAAGCACAAAUCUCCCACACUAGAUUGACUCCCAUCACCUCCUGCCUGCAGAUUUAACGCUCUAAGCGCCUAAACCCACACUGACUCCUUAAGGGGGUGUGUGUGUGUGUGUGUGUGUGUGUGUGUGUGUGUGUGAGAGAGUGUGAAAGGGGUGUAGCCUAAUACCUCCUGCUGCAGGUAAUAAACACACUGACUGUGCUAAACCAUCCCCACUGAGAGGAACUGUGUUUUAUUUUUCACAUCAGGAAUGAAGAUUUUUGAUCUACUUUGUCAUCUGCUGUGACGGUUCCUGACUGUGUUCAUCAGCGAGGAAGAGUCUGUCCGGAACCCGGAAAUUAGGGGAAAAAUAACUAUAGGUGAUGGGAAGUGGGCGGGACCCAUGGUAAACUUUCAGUUCUUCACUCUGAUUGGUGGUCACUUCAGUUUAUCACAGUUACUCCUUCAAAGUCGAAUGAGGAUGUUGAAUGUCACUUUGUUUCCAAUAUUUGCAUUAACUUUCUUUCACACCAGAUAUGAACGCUGUAUUGGAGCAGAAAAUAUUUGGAUUCUAUUUUGCUUUAUUGUAUUUAAUGAUCCAGUUUAGUCUCUCGACUUUGGCCACCACUCAUUGACUCUGUAUUAGACCCUCAUCCAUAUUCUGAAUCUCCAGCAAAGCACUGGACAGACUCCAUCAUAUCCAGAACUCCGCUGUCAUGAGAUGCACUAAACUCUGGGACCAUAUCACCCCCACCCUCAUAAAUCUCCACUGCCUCUUGGUCAAAUACCUCAGUACUUGUCUCCUCUCUUUCACGCAGACAAAUAGUCUUGCUCGCACUAACCCCUUCACUGGGCUU